rnacentral:rRNA from 1 species
CACACAGUAAACGAUGAAUACUCGCUGUUUGCGAUAUACAGUAAGCGGCCAAGCGAAAGCAUUAAGUAUUCCACCUGGGGAGUACGCCGGCAACGGUGAAACUCAAAGGAAUUGACGGGGGCCCGCACAAGCGGAGGAACAUGUGGUUUAAUUCGAUGAUACGCGAGGAACCUUACCCGGGAUUGAACGUAAGGGGAAUAAUGUCAAAAGAUGUUAGCUAGCAAUAGCCACUUACGAGGUGC